GACGAACGCUGGCGGCGUGCCUAAUACAUGCAAGUCGAACGCUUCUUUCCUCCCGAGUGCUUGCACUCAAUUGGAAAGAGGAGUGGCGGACGGGUGAGUAACACGUGGGUAACCUACCCAUCAGAGGGGGAUAACACUUGGAAACAGGUGCUAAUACCGCAUAACAGUUUAUGCCGCAUGGCAUAAGAGUGAAAGGCGCUUUCGGGUGUCGCUGAUGGAUGGACCCGCGGUGCAUUAGCUAGUUGGUGAGGUAACGGCUCACCAAGGCCACGAUGCAUAGCCGACCUGAGAGCGUGAUCGGCCACACUGGGACUGAGACACGGCCCAGACUCCUACGGGAGGCAGCAGUAGGGAAUCUUCGGCAAUGGACGAAAGUCUGACCGAGCAACGCCGCGUGAGUGAAGAAGGUUUUCGGAUCGUAAAACUCUGUUGUUAGAGAAGAACAAGGACGUUAGUAACUGAACGUCCCCUGACGGUAUCUAACCAGAAAGCCACGGCUAACUACGUG
rnacentral:rRNA from 1 species